rnacentral:rRNA from 1 species
GUGCCUAAUACAUGCAGUCGAGCGAUUCAUUAGGAGCUUGCUCCUAAUGAUUAGCGGCGGACGGGUGAGUAACACGUGGGCACCUGCCUAUAAGACUGGGAUAACUUCGGGAAACCGGAGCUAAUACCGGAUAAUCCUUCUUCUCUCAUGAGAGGAAGCUAAAAGACGGUUUCGGCUGUCACUUAUAGAUGGGCCCGCGGCGCAUUAGCUAGUUGGUGAGGUAAUGGCUCACCAAGGCGACGAUGCGUAGCCGACCUGAGAGGGUGAUCGGCCACACUGGGACUGAGACACGGCCCAGACUCCUACGGGAGGCAGCAGUAGGGAAUCUUCCGCAAUGGACGAAAGUCUGACGGAGCAACGCCGCGUGAACGAUGAAGGCCUUCGGGUCGUAAAGUUCUGUUGUUAGGGAAGAACAAGUAUCGGAGUAACUGCCGGUACCUUGACGGUACCUAACCAGAAAGCCACGGCUAACUACGUGCCAGCAGCCGCGGUAAUACGUAGGUGGCAAGCGUUGUCCGGAAUUAUUGGGCGUAAAGCGCGCGCAGGCGGUUCCUUAAGU